CCCCCUGUGGGCCAAGGUAGAGCAUGCUGAGAGAGGGAGGAGGGAGCAGGGGGCUGAGCUGAUCCCACGUGUGACGCUUUCAUUCCCGGCUCAGUAAUAUUCUCAUAGCGGGGCUUUGCAUAUCUCCUGCCGUAUCUGUGUGUGUCUGUCACUGUUACUGUAGUCCCAGCCUAUAGUUUGAAAUAGAUAUGGAAGGAGACGGGAGUCAAGCCACAUCCGGAAGCCUAAAUGAUUCACAACAUGACCCGGGUAAAAUGUUUAUCGGUGGCCUCAGCUGGCAAACCUCACCAGACAGCCUUAGAGACUAUUUUAGUAAAUUCGGAGAAAUAAGAGAAUGUAUGGUGAUGAGAGACCCCACGACAAAACGCUCAAGAGGAUUUGGGUUUGUUACGUUUACAGAUGCUGCCAGUGUAGAUAAAGUCUUAGCUCAACAACACCACGAAUUAGACUCAAAGACGAUUGAUCCUAAGGUUGCCUUUCCACGUCGCGCCCAGCCUAAGAUGGUCACAAGAACAAAGAAAAUAUUUGUGGGUGGCUUGUCAGCCAAUACAGUAGUGGAAGAUGUGAAGCAGUAUUUUGAACAGUUUGGGAAGGUUGAUGAUGCCAUGCUAAUGUUUGAUAAGACUACUAACAGACAUAGAGGAUUUGGCUUCAUAACUUUUGAGAGUGAAGACAUCGUAGAGAAAGUCUGUGAAAUUCAUUUUCAUGAAAUCAAUAACAAAAUGGUAGAAUGUAAGAAGGCCCAGCCCAAGGAGGUGAUGUUCCCACCAGGUACACGAGGGCGAGCCAGGGGUCUGCCCUACACCAUGGAUGCCUUCAUGCUGGGGAUGGGCAUGCUGAGCUACCCUAAUAUUGUGGCAACGUAUGGCCGCGGAUACACUGGAUUUGCACCCAGCUACAGCUACCAGUUCCCUGGCUUCCCAGCGACGGCAUACGGACCGGUGGCGGCAGCGGCGGUAGCAGCAGCGCGUGGCUCAGGUAGGGGGGCCCGUGGAAGAGGCGGCUACUUGGCGUACCCACAGAGCACAGGGCCAGGCCUCCCCGAUUAUGGGUUUUACUCUACGCCCAGUGACCAGAGGGGGGGGCCCUGCUCCUUUGCUGACUAUGGCUCCCUGGGGCCCCAAGCGGCUCAGAUGCUGCACAGUGAGCAUGCCACCUCCGCCUGCAACUCCCCCCUCCAGCACCUACACAGCCCGGAUCAAUUUAAGAACCCAGGCGCCAACCCAUCAAGGCCCGGAGGUUUCCCUGGUGCUAACAGUCCAGGGCCUGUUGCUGACCUGUACGGACCUAGCAGCCAGGAUUCAGCUGUGGGCAACUACAUCAGUGCUGCUAGCCCUCAGCCUGGCUCUGGGUUUGGCCCCAGCAUCACAGGCCCGUUGAUUGCGACAGCUUUUACAAAUGGAUACCAUUGAACAGGUGGCCGGUUGCCAUCUCAUCAGAGAUGACAGAGCUGGUAGUAAUGGCAGAGUAUAACUGGUGGCCCAGGAAAGACAGGACGAAGUUUCUAAUUGGCUUUGUGUGCAGGUGAUGCUAUCCAACUUCAAGCACUACAGUGUCACCCAGGCAAAAAGAAAGUUGGAACCAUAUGAAGAAGAAAAGAAAAACGUUAGUCAUCUCAGAAAAAUAACAACUGCUGUACUAUAAUCCAAACCUCCUAUAACUUUACAACCUGGUUUGGUAUGAUGUUUCACGUCGAUUUCAUUCACCAAUUUCCUUCCUCUGUUAGCUUUUGUUUUGAUUCGUUUUUAGAGAGUCAUUUUAGUUUUAAUCUUAAUUUUGUGUCAUUUGAUUUGAUCUUAUAGUAUAUUUGUGUAAAUGGAUUUUGUUUGAAGUGCGGGGGUCAUAGCCAAGAAUAUCUGCAAGUCAUGUCUUCAUCUUUGUGGUGUAAAGGAGAAAUGAUUGGAUGUUCCAAUCAGUCUUUCCACAAAAAUAAAAGAAGCUCAGUGUGGAGAGGCUCGGAGAAAAAAAAAAAAUUAAAUUUUAAGGAAAAUUUAAAGAGGGUAUCUAAGUAAUAAAUCUUAGUAGCUGUUUUCUUUCUUGUGAUGUCUCAUUGUUAGCCAUAAUUACCUAUUUUUGGGCAAUACAAAGAGGACUCCAAUAUUUUUAUGGUCCUUUUUUAUAAGUGUUGUUUUUGUUGUUUAGAAAUAAAUAUAUAUGGUAUAACAAAUUUCAUAUAACUACAUUGUGAAUUCAAACUUGAGAAAAAGAAAUGUAGCUGUACAUAUUAUUCCAGUCACUGCAUAUAACCAACUCAGUGAGAGAAUAGCAUAUUUUUGUGAUGGUGUGUCAAAAGAACAUGUUAUAGCGUGUGAAUAGAAGAAAAAGCUGUAAACAGUUAUUAUUAUACUUUUUCUGCUGGAAGACAGUAUAAACGACCCCAGAGACAAACAGAACACACUUGCUCUGUAAAUACUGAAGCUGAAUAAUUUUACAAGUGUCAUACCAGCAAAUUUACAAAUGGUGAGUUAGUUCAACACAGUUUUAAGAAAUAAAAAAAAGAGCCUGAUUGGUAUCUUUUGUCUAACUGUUAAGAUAUCAGUAUCAUUUCAAAGAGAGAGAGAAACAAAAAGAAGAUUUAAUCCAAAGCACACUGUACUUAGAUGUGAAGAUUAGAACUUGAACCAGGCAUUUUACAGUGCUCUGUGCAUCCUGACACUUUUAUACUCCUGAGAGGAACUUGUUAGUUGUAUGUUAUUGUUUGUUUCACCCUGCUUGUUCCUGAUUCGUUUUUUUUGGAACACAAUUAUCUGGGCUCUGUGCUAGAGCCUUUAUGUAAUGCUUGUUCUCUGAAUCCGUUCUUUUAUGAAUGAAUUAGGAAAAGUAAACAUUUUGAUACCAUACCUCAGCCUUUGUGAGUUCUAUUGGCAGGUUUAAUUUAUUCUAGUGGCAAAAUAAAUGAAAACACUGAAAGGUAAUAAAGCGAGGAAUCAUAAAUGCACUGUGAGUAGUAAAGUACAGGCCAUUUUCCUAUUUGCACAUGUAUAUGUCGGCUUUUAAAAAAAAAAACGGCCCUGUGCUUUAGGAUAGUAUGAAGGAUUUUUGGGUUAAUGUAUUCUCGACUAGACAAACGCUUCAGAGUUUUGAGGUGAGUUAACAGCUUGGGAAGUAGUAACUGAUAUGUUGCAGUGUACACUUGGAUCUCUUUAUAUAUUAGAGCUAUGUCUCAUCUAAAGAUAUUUAUACAGGGUUAAAAUAUGACACUGAAAUAUUCACUCUCUGUCGCUGCACCAGGUUUUACACAUGUGUGUGGUAAUGAUUUAACUCAUGACAAACAUUUAAUAAUAAUAUGCUCCAGUCGGGUUUUUAAAGUCAUUAAUGGAAUGAAUGGUGUGUUUUCUGAAGUACUUUACCUGCUGCAGGUGUAUCUGUUGUUUUCAUUUUACCCACUUUUUGUCUCAUUUCUUUUAUUUCAAAACAACCAGGUAAAGAAAUAUGCUGGAUACUUCUAAAGUAAAUGAUAUGGAGGUGUGAUCAAGUAAUAAUUUAAAGAGGAAAAAAAAAACCUUGUAAUGUUCAAAUGUAAAAGAAAAUAAGAAAUACAAAACUAUAAAAAAAAAAAGAGAAAAAAAGAAAGAUGCUUCUUUGCUGAUUUCAAGUUUAAUCAGAGUUUUAUUGAUACUUUGUGGUUUAUAUAUUAAUAAUUGUAAUAUACUAUUAAAAUGUACUGUGCAUCCAUUGCUUUCUCUCUUUCCAUCCCCCAUCCUCAGAGAUCCUCCUUCUUUUGUUGAUCAUUCAUGUAUUUCAUUAGUGUGUAAAGAAAUCACAGUUAACUUGUAAACAGAGUGCUGUCUUUGAUACCAGUGUAGUGGUCUUUGUUGUUCUCCCUUGCUCUACCUCUCCUUUCUCUCAUAUUUACCCCUCUCCCUCUCGCGCUCUUUUUCUAUCUCCUGUAAUUACAAAGUAGAUGUUAUAUAGCACUCAUUAAUAUAAUACUUGUAGUGAAUAGUGGAUUUAGGACCAGUCAAGAUAGACCUUUCUCUCAAUGAUCUCAUGUCAUUCUGAUAUUUGCAGACAAUUAUUUUGAUAGAGGUUCAUUGUAAUUUAUUCCCUGUAUGUUUUAUUUUUUGGUUUGGUUUUGCCACUCUCACAUGGUUUCAGCUAACCAAAGCUCUCACGGAUGAACAAAAGAGAAGCCGUUGCCGUAAGAUGGAAUUGUACACAAGGCAUUAUUUGGAUCCCCACCCUUGAAUGUUUUAAAAGGGGUGUGCCAUACUACCUUAAAUGCUAACGCUAGAUAUGCAAAACUGUUAUUAUUUGAUUCUUUUUUUAAGAGGGACACAAGCUAUAGUCAUGGACAAAGAUUUCAUGUAAAAAAAAAAUUUCAUAUUUUUUUAAGAAACAUACCAAUGAUUACCACACUAGUCGUAAUAUCAGUCAUAGUGUUAUAUCUUUUAAUGUUUGUACACUUUGGAUAUAUCCCAGAAGCCACUGGCAUAGGUCUUUUUUUUAAAUAAUACUGUUUUUGAUCUCUUAUUUCUCUCAAAACUUCCAUUAAUUAGUCUAAUAAUUUUAAUCUUAGAUUCCGGGAACUAGUUUUUGUUUUAAUCCGUAAUCAAUGUUUUUCAUACAUAUUGACAUCAUAGAGGCGUAUAAGAGACUGUAAAAAUGAAAAAGCCCUCCUGUGAAGACCUCUAGCUCCAAAGGAUUAUAAGCAGCUGUUGGUGUGUAUCAGGGCUGAUUAAUAGAAUAGAUCAAACUCAUGUCCUGACGUUGGACCAGCACCCUAACGCUGUGAUUCAUUGCUACCCUAAAUCAGAGCAGAAAAGAUUAGAUCAAAACUUAAAUUAAAAGCUCAAAGUUUCCUCAAAAUACCAUAUCAAAGGAUGUCCAGAAUUCAGACCUGUUAGAAUUACACACGCAGCUGUGUUCAAGCAAAAAAACAAGCCUAUUAUAAAGCCUCAAGCUGGGCACGCAUUUAUGUUUUUGAGUAUAAUCUCAAUUAAACAUAAUUUAGGUUUAACAGUUAUUUCAUUUAUUUCACCUCAUGGGGUCUUAAAAUUGAAUAUUGUUAAAUUAAUAACAUUAGUCUCUAUUCAUUGUUCUUAUCCAGUAUAGACUGUCAAAUUACAUACAGUAUGUACAGUAAUGGCAGCUUUGUUAGACACAAUAUUCCAAUGAAUCCAGCAAGUAUACAGGACAUUGUAUUAUUUCAAAAACAAAAGACUAUGUCCACAUGUAAUGCAAGUAAAAUCAUAUUAAACUUUAUUGUAAAAUGAUAAAAGUAAUCAAUCUCAUUGGACAAUACAGGAAAAGUUUAGUAUUUGAAAGACUAAGGAAAGCUAAAAAAAUACUUUAUUUUAAAACAUAAAAUAACGUUCUGAGUAUUAAUGCUUAUUUUUGCCUCAUUUGCACAUUUUAGUAUCAGAAAAUAUCUCAACAGUAGAUAAACAAUAAUUCUAAUAGGAGUCUUUAAAUGCACCAACUUUUGUGUAAAGAUAAAAGAAAGUCUUCCUCCUGUUCAAUUGCAGCAUGUCCCUUUUUUCAUCUGAAUAUUUUAUCAAAUAAAGUAUAACUCAAACCACCUACAAACCGAUACAAGAAGCUCAUUAGGAGCUGUAGUUGAUUCCAAUUAUGCUGCCAUUUCAUCUGAAAAACAAAUAACAGUGCAACAAGUAUGAAAUAUAUUAUUUUGUUUUUCUCACUUUUGCAGCGCCUGGUGGCUAAAAGACUAAAAUGAAAUUGCUCAUUUUCCCCUCACACAAUAUAAAAACAGACUCUUGUAUCGUUUUGUGAUCCUGUAGCUUGGACUUUAAGGUAGCAUGGCUCUGUUGCUGUAAUUUCAUUUUAUCUCAAACUGACAGCAGUUUACAGCUGAUGAAUGUUACACAUCUUAGUAGACUAGCGUAUCCAUUUGGGGAGAGGGAAGGGGUCUUGGUUUAAGAAAAAAAAAUUAUCAAAAAAGAAAAAAAGUCAACCUGGAAGGUGUUGACAUUUGUAGUGUACUACCGUAUCCAUUUAAACUUGAAUCUUGAGGCAAGUGCUAGGCAAUGGCCAAACAAUUUAUCCCAUCCGCUGUGGGAAAGCCCCACCCUGAAACCACACACACUUAUGUGAUUUCUGUUGUCUUGGAUUCAAAUCUGUUCUAUGGAUAAGAACAACUGUCUCCCUAAAGCUGGGACAUCAGACGAAGACUGGUUCAGGCUCUGCUCCAUUUUUAAUUAAUUAGACUGACUUUGAAGGCUCAUUGAACGUUCUUGAGCAUUUAUACCCAAAAGAGGCUUAUUCAUAGUGGUGCUAAUGGUUUUAAACCAGACAAUGUGCCCUUAUCUCAUGAGAGAUACUGGAUACCGUCACAGUGACCACAAAGUUAGUUUCCCAGUCCACAAAGUGACUCUCACUAUAACACCACCAUUUCUAGUGUCGGAUCUCUUGAUUCAGGAUAUAUGACAAAGAUGGGUUCAUGUUCACAAAUCUAGACUGAACUCUCCAAGGUGACAGAAAUAGCACAAAUGUACUGUCGUGUUUUAGGGUGAAUUUCCUUUUCAGUCCAAACCAUUGCCAUCUCACCCAUGCUCAUUGCUAAAUAUAUACAUGCAGUUGCAAUAUAUAUGUGGAUAGAUGAAUAUAUAUUUGCAGUUUUCACUCAUUCAACUUUGUCUGAACAAUAUUAGACUGGAGACCUCAGCUGUAUACAGAAUAAUCCUCACACAGCUACAUAUAGUCAUUAUUAGCUUAUGUUCACCAAUACGAGAGUUCACCCCUGGCGUGUUGUCGAGUUUGGAGCAGACCGCAUGGCCUAGAGGGGAGCCUGGAAGCUCUUCAGACUGCAUGGACGGCAGUGUGAGGCUCUGCUGUGCUUCCAUGUUUCUGCAGGCUGAGCACAGAGCUCUCUUCACUGUUGUCUGCCCAUUCCUAACACUUGCCCCUUUUUUUAUGUUAACCGACUUUUUAUGGCGAGAGACAGACAGACUUGACUGACAUCUGAAAGCAUCUUUCAGGUUAUCAUAUGGCUUGCUUAAGCCCUGUUGUAAAAUGUACUAAAAAAAUAAUAAUAAUAAUGAUAAUAAUAUUAAUGGAUGGGGGUCUCUCACAUAUCAAAUGUGGAAAGUCUAAUUUUAUAUUUGUAUUUUCAAAUAAUAAUAUUGACAAAAAAUGUCUGUGAAAGGUUUCCAUCCUCUACUGUGGUCCAGAAAUUGAUGUGUCUGUCUGGAAAAUAAAUAAAAUAAACUGAAUUGUUAUAUGA